rnacentral:rRNA from 1 species
AUGGCCUCGAUCUGGAGAAGGAGAGGGCAGGAGUGUGGCCUCGAUCUGGAGAAGGGGAGCAGCCUCACACAUCUUCAGCCCUCUCAAUCAGUGAGCUUUUCUCCUUUGAUGUUACUGGUUUUGCUCAUGGCAGCUAUGGGAUUGGAUGCCUACAGAUUCUCAAUUGCAUGGUCUCGGAUUCUCCCAAAUGGCACCGGUGAGGUCAACCACGCAGGCAUCGACCACUACAACAAGGCAGAGCAGAAUGAAGAGAUGGGGAUGUUGUUGGAUGUGAUAUGGUACGAGCCUGUCUCAAACUCCACAGCUGAUGUUGAGUCUGCUAAGAGAGCACAAGAGUUCCAGUUGGGAUGGUCAAAGAUGAUGGUUCUUCUUCUCCUAUUAGAGUAUCACUGCCUCACCAGGAUUGGUGUUGAACAUAAUAAGAUGCAAAUGUUAGAACCAGCGCCGAUUUUUUAG